CGAGAAAAGAACCACCAGGGAUUGCCUCAGUAACGGCGAGUGAAGCGGCAACAGCUCAAAUUUGAAAUCUGGCCCCUUCGGGGUCCGAGUUGUAAUUUGCAGAGGGUGCUUUUGGUGUUGGCCGUGGUCUAAGUUCCUUGGAACAGGACGUCACAGAGGGUGAGAAUCCCGUACGUGGCCGCCGGCCCUCGCCUUGUAAAGCCCCUUCGACGAGUCGAGUUGUUUGGGAAUGCAGCUCUAAAUGGGAGGUAAAUUUCUUCUAAAGCUAAAUACCCGCCAGAGACCGAUAGCGCACAAGUAGAGUGAUCGAAAGAUGAAAAGCACUUUGGAAAGAGAGUGAAAAAGCACGUGAAAUUGUUGAAAGGGAAGCGCUUGCGGCCAGACGUGCCCGCGGUUGUUCAUCUGGGCUCUCGCCCGGUGCACUCCUCCGCGGGCAGGCCAGCAUCAGUUUGGGCGGUCGGACAAAGGUCUCUAUCACGUACCACCCCUCGGGGUGGCCUUAUAGGGGAGACGCAACACGGCCAGCCUGGACUGAGGUUCCGCGCAUCUGCUAGGAUGCUGGCGUAAUGGCAGCAAGCGGCCCGUCUUGAAACACGGACCAAGGAGUCUAACAUCUAUGCGAGUGUUUGGGUGUCAAGCCCGAGCGCGUAAUGAAAGUGAACGGAGGUGGGAACCCCUCGGGGCGCACCAUCGACCGAUCCUGAUGUCUUCGGAUGGAUUUGAGUAAGAGCAUAGCUGUUGGGACCCGAAAGAUGGUGAACUAUGCCUGAAUAGGGUGAAGCCAGAGGAAACUCUGGUGGAGGCUCGCAGCGGUUCUGACGUGCAAAUCGAUCGUCAAAUUUGGGCAUA
rnacentral:rRNA from 1 species